CAGCGUUCUCAGGGCGGGGUGGAAUUCCCCACCGGCGGUAUCCGUGAGCGAUCACGGGAGCCCGCGAGCGCCCGUUCAUGCAGCGGCCAACACCGGUGCGAGAACGGGGUCAGCAGACCUGGUGCGAUGCCAGGGCCGACGGUCACAGUCCGGAUGAAAGAGAAACGCGA
rnacentral:ncRNA from 2 species